UGGGGAAUUUUGGACAAUGGGGGAAACCCUGAUCCAGCCAUCCCGCGUGUGCGAUGAAGGCCUUCGGGUUGUAAAGCACUUUUGGCAGGAAAGAAACGUCGCGGGUUAAUACCCCGCGAAACUGACGGUACCUGCAGAAUAAGCACCGGCUAACUACGUGCCAGCAGCCGCGGUAAUACGUAGGGUGCAAGCGUUAAUCGGAAUUACUGGGCGUAAAGCGUGCGCAGGCGGUUCGGAAAGAAAGAUGUGAAAUCCCAGAGCUUAACUUUGGAACUGCAUUUUUAACUACCGGGCUAGAGUGUGUCAGAGGGAGGUGGAAUUCCGCGUGUAGCAGUGAAAUGCGUAGAUAUGCGGAGGAACACCGAUGGCGAAGGCAGCCUCCUGGGAUAACACUGACGCUCAUGCACGAAAGCGUGGGGAGCAAACAGGAUUAGAUACCCUGGUAGUCCACGCCCUAAACGAUGUCAACUAGCUGUUGGGGCCUUCGGGCCUUGGUAGCGCAGCUAACGCGUGAAGUUGACCGCCUGGGGAGUACGGUCGCAAGAUUAAAACUCAAAGGAAUUGGACGGGG
rnacentral:rRNA from 1 species